AAAAACCGUAAAUCCUAUCUUUUAAAGGAAGGAGAAGUCGUAACAAGGUUUCCGUAGGUGCCUGCGGAAGGAUCAUUA
rnacentral:rRNA from 1 species